rnacentral:rRNA from 1 species
AGCAGCCGCGGUAAUUCCAGCUCCAAUAGCGUAUAUUAAAGUUGUUGCAGUUAAAAAGCUCGUAGUUGAAUUUCGGGGUUCUACCGUUGGUCGGGCAAUAGUCUGUACUGGCGUGUAGAAUUUCUACCUUCUGGGGAACCAUCAUGUUAUUUAUUUAGCGUGGUGGGAAACCAGGACCUUUACCUUGAAAAAAUUAGAGUGUUCAAAGCAGGCUUACGUCUGAAUACAUUAGCAUGGAAUAAUAAAAUAGGACGGUGGUCCUGUUUGUUGGUUUCUGAAUCACCGUAAUGAUUAAUAGGGAUAGUUGGGGGCAUUAGUAUUCAAUUGUCAGAGGUGAAAUUCUUGGAUUUAUUGAAGACUAACUUCUGCGAAAGCAUUUGCCAAGGAUGUUUUCAUUAAUCAAGAACGAAAGUUAGGGGAUUGAAGACGAUCAGAUACCGUCGUAGUCUUAACCAUAAACUAUGCCGACUAGGG